CUGCCUUGCUUUAUGGCCGCUGUAAUACAGACUUCAAUCAUAAAAAGCAUCGCCCUACAUUUUAAUGGCCCUCAUCAUCCUCUCUCCUCUGCCUAUAUCCCACAGAUAAAUCACGCCCAGCACUGCAAAUGAAUAGCCCGUCUUUGGAUGCCACUCUCCAGCUUCUGAUUGGCUUUAGUCGGCUACGACAUGGCUUGGGGGAGACGGAUCAUAGUAUUUCUGGUUUUGGUUCAUUCUCACCAUGUCUUUGGACUUUGUGGUUCUGAAUUUUAUAGGUAUUUUUGUUAGUCUUUUUUGUGUAUUUGAGAAGAAACAUGAGACAUGAGAAUGUCUUUUCUCACAGGUUCUGAUAAGGAAUGGAUGUGUCAAAGGUUAUGUAAUCUUACAGACGCCUAUAGGAAGGAAUAACAUACGGAAGAAAUUAAUCCAAUUGUGUCUGUUGAUGAUAUCAUUCCCUGGGUGACGUCAAGGGGAAUAUGUGGGAGCUGGGAACAAGAACCAAGGGAGUUCCGUCUAUCCUGUGGGCUACUUCAGAUUUGAUGGACUACGAUGACCAGCGUAUUUAUUUUUGCUUAAUAUUAACAGCAUUUUGUAACGAGGGCUUGUGGGGGAGUAUUUUUUGGAAUAAAAGUUUAAAA